AUAUGGAAGCUCACGUCCCUCAGUUUCAGAAAAAAAAAAAUUCCCCUUCCUUUGCUCUGUUCUCUCUGUAACUGCCAUGGGUGGGAUGUGCUAUCUUGUGCAAUAAUCUCAUUUUCUUAACUCUCUCUCGCAUUUUCUUUCUGUCUUCCUGUGAGAUUUCCUAACCUUCCCUUCCAGUGUCGACCUUGUUGUUUCUGCUGUCACCUCUCUAGUUCUUUCUUGGUCUCUGAAUGUCUGUUGACACAGUCUCUUGUUCUUGUUUUGUAGAUGCAGCAUCUUCUGUUUCUCCAAGGGAGUGUUGUGGUCUUGAAGGGGUUCCCUGCACUGGCUGUUUCCUAGGAGUUCUUUUCCUCUGCUGCUGAUGCUCUCUGCCUCUCAUGUCCCAGGCCGCCGGGUGUGCCUGGUGAUCUUGGCUGUGAGUUCAUAAUGAAGAGCAGGAAACUGAAAACAGAUCAUCGACGCUUCACGCCUGUGGGCAGGGCAUGAGGACAGUAAACAGGCCGGGAGCCCCUGCUCCAGAAUGGCCAAAGACACGUUCCCUGCCUUCACGGGAGAGGAGCUAAGUUCCUGUUUCCUCAGCACCUGCUGUCUGCUUUCACGGCAACCCUACAGCCUAGGGAUCCUCAGCCUUAUCUGCCCAAAGGAGACUCCGACGCUGAACCUGCCACAAGGGCCACAGAGGAUGCUGGCCUGUGCCAGCCUCUGGGGAGAGCAGAGGGUGGCAGCAGUUGCUGGGGUGUGAGCCUGCCCAGACCUGUGGCCCUGCCUGACGUUGGUCCCCCACCAAGCCAUGUGACGAGACCAGGCCACAAGAAAGAGGUUUCAACAAGCGUUAUCGCUUCCUGGAACUCCGACUCGGCGACUUCCCCGAAGACCGGCUGUGCCUGGCGGGCGGGCUGUGAGCAGCGGGGACCAGGCUGCCCCUUUCCUCCUCCGCUGUCUCCGCAGCUGCCACCCUCUAUCUCAGUCUGACUACCUGGAAACGCCCCCCCUCCGGCACAGAGUCCAUAGGCUUGACUGUUUAGCAUCAUCCCCCAAGAGCAGAGGGGGCAGGGCCGGUCCAGAUGCUCCUUCCAAAGGCCUCCGGGCUGCUCUGGCCAGGCUGGACCAGGCUGGACCAGGCUGGGACCCUGGGUACCCAGGAACCCACCCCCUCUCCUCACUGCCCCUGACACAGGCAAUUGCCAAUCAGGCUGAGCACGGAUUUCCUGGCAGCAAAAUGGACACAAAUCUCCCAUCCAUCGCAUCUGCCCACCAGAGUGGACACUUGGCGGGCCUACAAUGUGGGUUCCUGUCUUGCUGGUUUGACAAUCCAGGGUGGGGGGAAAUCCCACUUGGGUAGGGCGAGGAGGUCGGUCACAAACUUCAAGUUCUUGGGUGCCUUUAUCUCUGGGUGGCUGCGAUGACUCUGGAAUAAGUCACUUCCUCAACUCCCCAGUUCACAGAAACCUGGGCUAUAAAUAUAGACCUGGCCACAAUGGGCGGGGCGGGGGGCGCACGGUACCCAGAAUGGGAGGUGGAUGAAGAGAGGAAACCAAGGACAUAAUCUGAAUCUUGUGAGCAGAAGCCUCCGGGCCCUGCCGAUGUGAAGAUGGUAUUCGAUUGAACCGUGUGAAAUUGCCUGCUCUUACGUUUUGGACCUACAAACACAGCAAUUUCAUCUGCUUCAGCCUGACGUGAUCUACCCAGAAUAUUAUUUUAAGAAUUAAAUAAGAUCUUGUGAAGUCCUUAGUACAGUGCCUAUAUGUAACAAGUGCUAAACAAAAAUAGCCCUUAUGUUAUAUUGUAAUGCAUACUUUGUAUCUCCUACCUAAUAAUACAGA